UACGGGGGGGGCAAGCGUUGUUCGGAAUUACUGGGCGUAAAGGGCUCGUAGGUGGCCAACUAAGUCAGACGUGAAAUCCCUCGGCUUAACCGGGGAACUGCGUCUGAUACUGAAUGGCUUGAGUUUGGGAGAGGGACGCGGAAUUCCAGGUGUAGCGGUGAAAUGCGUAGAUAUCUGGAGGAACACCGGUGGCGAAGGCGGCAUCCUGGACCAAAACUGACACUGAAAAGCGAAAGCCAGGGGAGCAAACGGG
rnacentral:rRNA from 1 species